UUGUGCCAGCAGCCGCGGUAAUUCCAGCUCCAAUAGCGUAUAUUAAAGUUGUUGUGGUUAAAAAGCUCGUAGUUGAACCUUGGGCCUGGCUGGCCGGUCCGCCUCACCGCGUGCACUGGUCCGGCCGGGCCUUUCCCUCUGUGGAACCCCAUACCCUUCACUGGGCGUGGCGGGGAAACAGGACAUUUACUUUGAAAAAAUUAGAGUGCUCCAGGCAGGCCUAUGCUCGAAUACAUUAGCAUGGAAUAAUAAAAUAGGACGCGCGGUUCUAUUUUGUUGGUUUAUAGGACCGCCGUAAUGAUUAAUAGGGACAGUCGGGUGCAUCAGUAUUCAACUGGCAGAGGUGAAAUUCUUGGAUCAGUUGAAGACUAACUACUGCGAAAGAAUUUGCCAAGGAUGGUUUCACUAAUCAGGGGCGGAAGUUAGGGGAUGGAAGCCGAUCAGAUACCGUCGUAAUCUUAAACCAAGAGUAUGCCGGGGUAGGAUCGGACGAGGUUAUUCAUGGUCCGGUCG
rnacentral:rRNA from 1 species